rnacentral:rRNA from 1 species
GAUGAACGCUGGCGGCGUGCCUAAUACAUGCAAGUCGAGCGAACAGACGAGGAGCUUGCUCCUCUGACGUUAGCGGCGGACGGGUGAGUAACACGUAGAUAACCUACCUAUAAGACUGGGAUAACUUCGGGAAACCGGAGCUAAUACCGGAUAAUAUUUUGAACCGCAUGGUUCGAUAGUGAAAGACGGUUUUGCUGUCACUUAUAGAUGGAUCCGCGCCGCAUUAGCUAGUUGGUAAGGUAACGGCUUACCAAGGCAACGAUGCGUAGCCGACCUGAGAGGGUGAUCGGCCACACUGGAACUGAGAAACGGUCCAGACUCCUACGGGAGGCAGGCGUAGGGAAUCUUUCGCAAUGGGCGAAAGCCUGACGGAGCAACGCCGCGUGAGUGAUUAAGGUCUUCCGAUCGGAAAACCCUGUUAUUAGGGAAGAACAAAUGUGUAAGUAACUAUGCACGUCUUGACGGUACCUAAUUAGAAAGCCACCGCUAACUACGUG